AUUGAACGCUGGCGGCAUGCCUUACACAUGCAAGUCGAACGGUAACGGGCCUUCGGGUGCCGACGAGUGGCGAACGGGUGCGUAAUACAUCGGAACGUGCCCGAUCGUGGGGGAUAACGAGGCGAAAGCUUUGCUAAUACCGCAUACGAUCUACGGAUGAAAGCAGGGGACCGCAAGGCCUUGCGCGGACGGAGCGGCCGAUGGCAGAUUAGGUAGUUGGUGGGAUAAAAGCUUACCAAGCCGACGAUCUGUAGCUGGUCUGAGAGGAUGAUCAGCCACACUGGGACUGAGACACAGCCCAGACUCCUACGGGAGGCAGCAGUGGGGAAUUUUGGACAAUGGGCGCAAGCCUGAUCCAGCCAUGCCGCGUGCAGGAUGAAGGCCUUCGGGUUGUAAACUGCUUUUGUACGGAACGAAAAGCCUUCUUUUAAUACAGGAGGGUCAUGACGGUACCGUAAGAAUAAGCACCGGCUAACUACGUG
rnacentral:rRNA from 1 species